rnacentral:rRNA from 1 species
GACGAACGCUGGCGGCGUGCUUAACACAUGCAAGUCGAACGGAAAGGCCCUGCUUGCAGGGUACUCGAGUGGCGAACGGGUGAGUAACACGUGGGUGAUCUGCCCUGCACUUCGGGAUAAGCCUGGGAAACUGGGUCUAAUACCGGAUAGGAGCCAUUUUUAGUGUGAUGGUUGGAAAGUUUUUUCGGUGUAGGAUGAGCUCGCGGCCUAUCAGCUUGUUGGUGGGGUAAUGGCCUACCAAGGCGGCGACGGGUAGCCGGCCUGAGAGGGUGGACGGCCACAGUGGGACUGGGAUACGGACCAGACUCCUACGGGAGGCAGCAGUGGGGAAUAUUGCACAAUGGGCGCAAGCCUGAUGCAGCGACGCCGCGUGGGGGAUGACGGCCUUCGGGUUGUAAACUCAUUUCGCUAGGGACGAAGCUUUUUGUGACGGUACCUAGAUAAGAAGCACCGGCUAACUACGUG